rnacentral:tRNA from 1 species
GGGGCGGUUAGCUCAGCGGGAGAGCACCUGCCUUACAAGCAGGGGGUCGGCAGUUCAAACCUGCCACUGCCCACC